rnacentral:rRNA from 1 species
UACGUAGGGUGCGAGCGUUAAUCGGAAUUACUGGGCGUAAAGCGUGCGCAGGCGGUUGUGUAAGACAGGUGUGAAAUCCCCGGGCUUAACCUGGGAACUGCGCUUGUGACUGCACGGCUAGAGUACGGCAGAGGGGGGUGGAAUUCCACGUGUAGCAGUGAAAUGCGUAGAUAUGUGGAGGAACACCGAUGGCGAAGGCAGCUUACUACGCAUAUAUUGACGCUCAUGCACGAAAGCGUGGGUAGCAAACAGGAUUAGAAA